rnacentral:rRNA from 1 species
AGUGAACGCUGGCGGCGUGCCUAAUACAUGCAAGUCGAACGGAGAUUAAGUAGCUUGCUAUUUAAUCUUAGUGGCGCACGGGUGAGUAAUAUAUAGCUAACUUGCCCAUUAUUAAGGGACAACAGUUGGAAACGACUGCUAAUACCUUAUACUCCGUAUCUAUAUAAGUAGAUACGGGAAAGUUUUUCGGUAAUGGAUAGGGCUAUAUCGUAUCAGCUAGUUGGUAAGGUAAUGGCUUACCAAGGCUAUGACGCGUAACUGGUCUGAGAGGAUGAUCAGUCACACUGGAACUGAGACACGGUCCAGACUCCUACGGGAGGCAGCAGUAGGGAAUAUUGCUCAAUGGGGGAAACCCUGAAGCAGCAACGCCGCGUGGAGGAUGACACUUUUCGGAGCGUAAACUCCUUUUCUUGGGAAAGAAUUAUGACGGUACCCAAGGAAUAAGCACCGGCUAACUCCGUG